rfam:Elusimicrobium minutum Pei191, complete genome.
UUUGGCAAUUAAAAGGCCGCUGUAAUGUUAAUAUUAUAGAGGAACUUCCGAACUCCACAGGGCACCGCGCCGCUUGAAAGGGCGGGGGUUUGGGCUAAAAUCCAAACCACGGAAAGUGCAACAGAAAGUAUACCGCCGCAAGCUUGCUUACGGUAAGGGUGAAAGGGUGUGGUAAGAGCGCACCGCAUCAGCGGCAACGCUGAUGGCUAUGCAAACCCCGCAGGGAGCAAGGCCAAAUUUGUGCAUAUGCUGCCCGCAUCAGACACAGAGUAGGCCGCUUAGAGAAAUGGUCUUUAUCCGAGGUUCGCCGAGGAAACAGAAUUCGGGGUAUUAUUGCCAAACAAA